CCGGCCAAAGCAAGAAGAAAAGGGAAAAAGCGUAGAACAAACCCUAGAGAAGAAAAUCAAGAGAAAAUUCAUUGGAUUUCAAGGAAUUAAGCAAGUAAAGGUAAAAUUUCUUAAUUCUAGCUUGUGAUCUACCUUUCCUAUGCAUUCUUUUUCAAUUACCAUGGUUAAAAUUCAAGAUCUCAUGAAGGAUUCAUGGCUGACCGAAUUUAGGGAGAGAAGAUUUGAUGAUUUAUUUGGUUAGAUUUCAAGGUAUCUUAGUGUUUUUAGUUGUUUGGUGAUGUUUAGCAUGAAAAACAAGCAAAAAAUUUCAUGCCCUUCACCCACACUCCUUGGCUGAAAUUUUCAAGAGAGAAAUUGGAUAAUGGACUUUGAUGAAUUUCAUGCUAUUUAGGUGUUUUUAGUUGUUUUAUGAUGUAAGGUGUAAAAAUCAAGCAUGAAAAUUACAUGUUCUACACUAAACCUUCAAUGGUCGAAUUUUACAAGGAAGAUAUUGAUGAUGGAUUUUUGUGAUAUUACGUAUUAUUUAACUUGUAAUUGAUGACUUGGAGUGUUGGAAGUGGAAUCAAGUUAAUUGGAGUUGAAUUGGAUGUAUUGGCCAAUUAACCGGUGUAUAGAUCGAAUUAGGCCAAUACCAUUUUAUUUCGAUAUAUAAUUGAAGCUAUGUAGAACACCAUAUUUAGAUAAUAAUCCGAACAUUUCGCAUCCUAUUUCAUGCAUUCAUAUAGAGCCUAAAUUAGUUUUAUAACGGUUUAGUACAAAUUUAGUAAAUUGCUUGUUGUGCAUUAUGUUUAGGUAGUGAAACUUUCGAUAAGGGUAAGGAGAUUGUACCCGAAGAUUGGGACUAGGAGUACUUCGACUCUCGAUAUUAUAAGUAACCUUAUUAUCAUCUUAAUUAUCUAAAGUAGUUUUUAUUCAUUUUUGUGAUUUUAUAGAAAAAUGAGUUUAAAUGGUAAAUCCUUAUGUUUUAUAUGUAAAAUGUGAUUAAAUGAAAUGAGUUUUAUAAAUCAUUUUGAAAUUGAAUGAUGAUUUUAGAAAUUGAGUAAAUGGAGACUGUUUGAUUGUGUUGUAAAUUUAUGGCUUGAAUUGAAUGGCUUAUGGUGAUAUUAGCAUGAAUGGCUAAAUUGGAAAUUGUGUUGGAAUUGUAUGAACUAUUUAUUUUGCCUUAACAAGCUUGGUAGUAAUAUAAUUGCCAUGUCAUGCUGUCGAAACUUUUAUUGAUUUGGUGGGAUAUUGAUUAGUCACUACAGUGGCGGGUUUCCGUGGACCAACCUAUUAGAGAAGGGCACGAUAAACCCGAUUAUAUUUUACCUUGGUAUGAGAGGCGCAGAGGGUAUCUUCUGAGGUAAAGCUUUAGAGUUCACUACACGCUAAACCGCCACGUGAGGGUGAACUCAGCCAACGCCAAGGAACGGCUAUGCUUUUAAACGUAAAAAUGUGUUUUAUGCGUAUAUGAACUUUUCUUUAACAGCCUUGGUGGACUCGGUUGGAUAUCCCGACCAAGGUAUCCUCGAGAAUGAUUUUUGGCACGAGCCAAAUUUUUAAGAAAUUCAUAAGCCAUGUUAAUUAUUUGAGUGAAAUGAAAUUAUUUUAUUUAGUUAAAAUGAGUUUGAAACGUUAUGAAUCAUAGUACGAUGAACUAUUUUAAGUUGUCUCCAUUUACUCGACUUUAGAUAUUUUAGAUAAUGUUUGUUUACUCACUGAGUUUAUAUAAACUCACCACCCUCAUUUCCACUCAUUUCAGGAUCAGGACAGUCCGUAAAUAGCUGAUUACGUCGAGGAUUAUUAUUGGACUUGCCUCCUCAGAAAUUGUAGGUCCACAGCUUUUGUUACCUUUGGUCAUUCGGGAGCCCACACGUCAUUGUAAAUUAAAUUACAUACUCUGGUUAUCUGUGUUACUGUAUGUAUGGAUUUAUUUUGCUUUUACGCUACAAAAAUUAUUUACGUAGAGUUCUAUAAAUAUUGUUUUAUAAGAAAAUGAAAUAUUUCAUUUAAUAUUUUUAUUUUAUUCUAUUAGC
rnacentral:lncRNA from 1 species